rnacentral:piRNA from 1 species
UCUGUUGAUUUAUGUUAUUGA